GAGCGGCGGUGACCCGCCGUCGGUGACGCGCACCAGCAGCUCGGCCUCGGGCAGCGCCUCUCGGUCGAAGGAGCGCAGCGCGUAGAUGGCGCCGGUGGCCGGGUGGAUGGAGGCGAGCGCGGCGCCGGGCCCCAGCAGCCGCGUUUGGUGACUUUGAGGCCAUUUGUGACCAGCAGGGACAUUUGGGGUUAUAGUGGAAGCCGUGGGCUCUCUUUGCCUUUAAUGGGGAUGACGAUUGAAGACACGCGAGCAAAACGAGAGCCGUUUGUUCGAGGUGAUGACGCCUCGUCAAAGCGAGAGUGUCAGAUGAAGCCUCUUCUAUUUACUGAGACCCUGCCGAGAGUACUUUUGUCACUCAAAUGUAAAACACGAACAAAAGGAGAUAAUCCCCUUGUUACAAUUCCUAAGCAUCGGAACGACCUCGAAGCGGUAGGGGGUUGGUGGCUUUAUACGACUUCAAGAAAAUACCAAGCUGGGAGCAUUCCAUGUUUUAAUGGGAUAAAUGAUCUGGAAUGUUUCCCGGAAAGAACGGAAUAUUUACUUCGUGAGAAUACUGCAAUCUACAGGAGUCCUGGACUGCAAGCUCAGAUCAUGACAAAUGUAAAAGUGGGGGCACACUUUGGAUCGUUUAUUAGUUUACGCGUUUAAUCUAUCCUGUCUGCGUUAGAAUCCAACAUAUAUGAAUAGUGUUUUCAAAAGACAUUCGCUCCUGCUACAUUUUAAUCCCCUCAAGACACUAAUUUUAACACAGCAAAAUCUUCAGAUGUAUCUGACCAUGGGUGGGCUCCUAUGCCUGCACUUUACACACAGGUACCAGCUAUCGCGGGACGUCGUUCUUUACAGCAAAUAUUACAUGCAAUAAAUCAAGUAGACAUCCUCUUGAGUAACUAAUCUUACCCGUAUAUUAAUCCCUUACACAAACUUCAGAAAGUUCUAGUUCAAGUUUUAAAUCCAAAGUCAAGACAUAAAAUACUUUCAAUGAAAAAAAUCCCAAAUGCCACGUUAAACGUGCCUCCGGGAAAGGUAAAUUUGCUUGACGACCGAUAACCUAUUCAAAUGAGAGCGGCGUGGUGUCAGCGCGCCCUUCAGCUUAGAUCGUUUAUUGGGUUCAAUAAAGGUUAAUGGUUUUUGAGUGAAGUGGCAGUAACAUUCUUAGGUAUUCAAUCGAUCGCAAAGCUUUUGGUAUGAAAGCUCGCACGAUGAACACAAAUGUGGAAUCUCCGACCAGUGUUCCAUAAAGGGAAAAUGCAAAGCGAAGAAUAAGGAUAUAAGCGCCUGUCCCGCUGAGUUACUCCAACAAUUUGUGUCAAUCUUCGGUGUGAACUAGCAUCUGCAGUUUCCUCCUACACAAUAAGGAUAUUAAUAUUUUCACUUAAUUAAUUUGCCUGGAAUAGUCAUUGUUCUCGCUCGCAGCAAGUGUUGUAAAGGUUCUGAUGGGGGCAAAGAUUGUGUGCAUUUUUCCUACUUAUCCAGCCAAUAAAGCUUUUUUUUUAACUGAGAAA